rnacentral:misc_RNA from 1 species
UGGCUGAGGCUACAAACUACAAACUACAAAAAUAAUUGGCUUUGUAGUGUAAAAGCGGCUGCUGCCACGUGGAUUCUCGGGCUUCAAUACAAUUCAUCACAUUCCUCGAUGCUCUCCGUCUCAAUACCCGUGCCGUUGAUGAUUUGUACCCAGGACUUGAUGAUCUUUAUAAUGCAAUUAAUACAACUAGUCGUGUCCCAAUUGAUGCAAUUGUAACUACAAAAGUCAAAAAAUGGCAUGAUCGUCUGUCUUCGAUGGCUGCUUCCGAUGAGAUUUCGGAUGAAGAUGCUCGUCAAAUGAUCUUCGAUGUCGAGUCUGCCUAUCAGGCAUUCAAUAAGGCACUCAAUGAGCUUAAGCAUUAA